AUUGAUUUCUUUAUCGACCCGUUUUUAAAUAGGCCACUUUGUAGCUUGUCUUUCGCUUACGGCCAUACCACACUGAGAACGCCCGAUCUCGGAAGCUAAGCAGAGUCGGGCCUGGUUAGUACUUGGAUGGGAGACCCCCUGGGAAUACCAGGUGCUGUAAGAGUUUU
rnacentral:rRNA from 1 species